AGACUGGCAUCCUGUCCAGGGUGUACCCUGCCUCAAGCCCUAUGACUGCUGGGAUAGGCUCCACCCCCCACCCAUGACACUUAUUUGGAGUAAGCGAGUUGAAGAUGAGUGUG